GACGUAGGAGGCGAGCGUUGUCCGGAUUCAUUGGGCGUAAAGAGCACGCAGGCGGUUUGGCAAGUCGGAUGUGAAAACCCGGGGCUCAACCCCGGGCCUGCAGCCGAUACGGGCAGACUAGAGUUCGGCAGGGGAGACUGGAAUUCCUGGUGUAGCGGUGAAAUGCGCAGAUAUCAGGAGGAACACCGGUGGCGAAGGCGGGUCUCUGGGCCGAUACUGACGCUGAGGAGCGAAAGCGUGGGGAGCGAACAGG
rnacentral:rRNA from 1 species